rnacentral:lncRNA from 1 species
AUCAGGAGAGGAUGGGCUAGUCGGAUAAAGAGGUAGUUGGGGGAGCAAUAGAUCGAGAAAAAAAAAAUAAAGAUGAGAUCGAUGACAUGAUCGAGAAUACAGAAUAGCUCAAUAUUGAGCCGAGAAAUAGUUGACGAGUCCUAGAGAGUUUAUGUGAUUGGGUAGAGGUAGAGGUGAGGGGACCGAGGGCAAGAUUGGAUGAAAAUAGAGAGGC